AGCGAACGCUAGCGGCAAGCUUAACACAUGCAAGUCUAGGGGACUUCGGUCCCCGGCGGACGGGUGAGUAACACGUAGGUUACGUGCCCUUCAGAGGGGGAUAACUCAGGGAAACUUGUGACAAUACCCCAUAUGCCCACGGGUGAAAGUAGUAAUACGCUGAAGGAGCGGCCUGCGGCCCAUUAUUUAAUCCUUGUUGGUGAGGUAACGGCUCACCAAGGGUACGAUGGGUAGCUGGUCUGAGAGGAUGAUCAGCCACACUGGGACUGAGACACGGCCCAGACUCCUACGGGAGGCAGCAGUGGGGAAUAUUGCGCAAUGGGCGAAAGCCUGACGCAGCUAUGCCGCGUGUGUGAUGAAGGCCUUCGGGUUGUAAAGCACUGUCGGGAGGGACGAAAUUUGACGGUACCUCGCAAGAAAGCGCCGGCUAACUCCG
rnacentral:rRNA from 1 species